UCUCGCCUCCGAUGGCCCCGUUUGGGAGGGAGCCAAACCGGGCCCCUCGGCCCCGGCCCCGCCGCUGACGGCAGCUCCGGGGCGGGGGGGGGGGGGGGGGGGGGGGGCUGGGGGCGGCCCCCGAGCGGUUUUUGGAAGGGGGCGACCCCGCGGGGUCGGGGCUGGGGCUGCGGUGCCGUGCCCCCCGUGAGGUGUUCUGCUCGGCCUCGGCGGCCGUCGGCGGGAAGCCGACGCUCCCGUGUGGCAGCCCUCGUGUGGCAGCCCUCGUGUGGCAGCCAGCCCUCGUGUCGCACGCACGAGGCGGGUCGGAGCGGCGGCGAAGCGCUCGUGGCCCAGCCGGUGCCGCUCACCUCGACGCCCGUGCUGCUGCCGGUGGCGUGGCCGAAAGCCCGCUCCCCGGCGCCGUGUGCGUGCCCUGCGCUCACCGACUGAACGCCGCGGCUCGUCCCGACCCCCGGCUGGGUCAGCAGGGACCUUCCCCAGCACGCAGGAAGAGGUGCAGUAAGGAGCUGGAGGUCGGCGAGGCUCCGCAGCUGCUUGACUCGAGGCCUGGGGAGGCUUCGGCAGGGGGCUCGUGGGAGCCUCGGGAUGUGUCCUGAGGAAGAAAACCUUUAGUGCCGGCAGCCGGGCUCGUUCAUGGACACGCAGGGCUAAUCGGUCCCUUUCCGAGAACCUAGCCUUGGGGUUUUAAAAAGUGUUGUAACUGUUGUGGUUGAAAAAAAGUUUCAAAACCUGCCGCCUGUAAAUGGCCGCCGCGGCUCCUUCCUGAAUCCGCUCCCUCUCGCUCUGAGAAGGAGCCGCAGGGAGUCUGAAGGAAGCCGUCGGAGCUGGGGUGGUCGGGGGCUCUGUGAAACCCGUGGGGCUGGGAUAUCCCAGGCGUGGCUGAGUGAGGAGAGAUCGCUGUCCUGCUCCCUGGGAGAGGCUACCUGUGCCGGCGGGGCCGGAGACUGGGGGUUUGCCUUGCUGGAGAGCUGUCAGCAAAAACUGACAGCAGAGCUGCCCUCCGCCCUCUCCUUGCAGAGGUGGGGUCUGGAAACUCUCGUCCCAGGAGGGAAAAAGAGUUGACUUACGAUUUCUUUCCAUUCCUCCUGUCUCUUGUUGCGUGGGUUGCGGCCUGCCCUUCGCUUAUGGCUUAGAGUCUGGGCAGAAGCCUACAGCGUGUUCCUCGGGGUCGAGUUCCCCUGCUUUAGGGACUGAAGCGAUGUAACGGCGGUGUCUGUGCCCCGGCUGCCUCCCUGUGCCCGCAGCAGAGGCCCUGGCCAGUGAGCAGAUUAGAGAUAAAAGAAGAAUUCCACCCCGUGGGGCACGAGCAGCUCAAUCCAUACCAACGUGAUGGAGAGGGAAAUUGGAGAGAGCUUAUCAGCUUGAGGAAAAAUCAAAUGUAAACAUCAUCCCCAGCAUGAUUAUGGUUCACAGCUUAGUUGGAUGUCACGUGCCUCUUUCCUGUGAAAUGGUGCUAGCGAAGAUGAUGACGGGGGUGUCAGCUAGGCAAAAACACGCAGAAAAACACCCUGUGCCUUGAACUUCUGGAGACCCUGCAGUUACUUCACAGUCAAUAAGUCACAGCUCAGCUGCAGGCAAGGAGAGGAAGGCAGCAAAAAUUGAAUUUGGGCAGCUCCAGCAAAUUAAUUGUCCUUUAAGAUGUGACCGGGCUGGGAACGUUCAGGGAAGCUGGGACCGUGGGGGCCGGGAGCCGGGGAGGGGUGCGAGGGGCAGUCUUGGCCGGGUGUGCGGCCGGGCAGGAGAACCAGUGCCUGGGAGGGGAGCGAUCGAUCUAACAUUGAUCUAAUUGCAAUUAGCAGGCGCUUGGCCCUGACCCGCAGUGGCAGACUGGGUCUGCCCACGCGCCCCGGUUGGCUUGCUGAGCAUCUCCAGAAGGGCUCCCCCGGGAGCAUCCAGGGUGGAUUUAGCACGAGCAGGGCGUAAUUUGGGACCGAUUAUUGAAGCGAAUCGCUGACACGACCAGUAUGGGCUCUCGCCAGAUGCACAACCUUAAAUAUGGUUUUCCCAUAUAAGGUGGCUGCAGCCUGGAAAGCAGAAGCAGGAAUUCCAGCGCUCUCUUUUUUCACCAACACGUCUUUCAGACGCAGCCGGUUGAGUCCCGAAAUAGGUCUGCCGAGGCUGGGCGCUACCCCGACGAAGGCGCGGGGAGCUGCUCUCGUCACAUGCUGCUUCCAGCUUUGUCGCAUUCGAUUAUUCCCUCUUUGGGCUGCCGAGCAUGUUCCUGCAGCCCCGUAUUAAUCUGUGGAGGCCCGGUGGGUGCCUCGUGCCCAACCUCACCGCUGUACCUGCGUGCCCUCCGGGAGCACGGGACCGGUGCCAUCUGCACGUAGAGGAGCUUCGAGAGUUACGUGGGGUCAGUUAACCCACACGUUGCAGCGUCGGGAAGCGCUGCACCUUUUGCACCGUGCGGGGGAACGUCAGCAGUGGAGCUGGAGGGGAAAUGCGUGCCAGCUGCUAGCACGGCGAGGGCUGGGAGUGUUUGGGUGGCGGUGACCUUCAGCAGCCUGGUUCGCACGCUCCGCUGUCGGGGAGGGCAGAGGGAGCUCACAAAUAGCAGCAGAAGAGGAGAAAAAGUCCUGGGUGGGUUUUUCUGUUUCCCAAUCCCAGGUCUCUUAUUUAUUUAUUUUUAAAUCCCGGUAGUCCCCUUUAAAUUCAGUUUUCGUUUGAUAAUCCGGCUGACAGUGCCGCUUCCCUUCUGACGCCUCCCAAGCUGUUGUCUCCUAGGCCUGCGAGCUGGGUCGCUUCGUGGACGUGCCGAAGAACAGGAUCGAUCUCGGUCGCGUCGGGCUGGACGUGGGUGAUCACGGACGUGGGGCCAGGCAGAGGCUGAUUUUUGCAGCCCUGUGCAGGCGCACAGCCCUGGCUGUUCGGCACGGGCUGCCAGUGCGGAGCUGCUGCCAGGGUGGUAGCCCUGCACGGUGCUUGCUGCGUCCUCACCCAUCCGUGGCUGGUGCAGACACUGAGAGGAGCAAAAUAUUGUCAUUUCCUGUAAGCCGUUGGCAAAGCAGCGUUGCUGCCACAAGCACCUUCUCCCUGUUUGCUGCCUGCUGAUGGUGCACCGCGCUCCCUUCAACAAACAGGCGCAGCCACUUGCCUUUUCCCCCGAGGGAAGGAUUCUGUAAGGAAAGCGCGUGCCGUGCCCAGCGCCUGCCUGCGUGCGGCCGCUUCCACGCGCUCGCGGCGAUCAGACAACGGGAGCCCGGCGGAAAGGUAAAUCAAGGCACUGCGAGGGAUGCCGACCAAAAGGCCGUUUGAUGCUGAAAUUGAAGCGCAAAAGCGCAGGGAAGAAGAGGGUCGAGUUAAAAAAAAAAAAAAAAAAAAAAAAAAGCGAUGGUCUGCGUGAAGUGCAUUUUGUCCUAAUCUGUAUCAGCGCUGAGUUUCUCAGCAGAGCGCCCAGCAUCGUUCGCCUGCCCGCCUGGGUCGCUGCGUGCUGGAAGGAAAGGCGUUUCCUGGCUUUUCAGGCUUCCCACCUCCUCUCUGAGUGCCUUGGAGGCUGUGGAAGGGGCGGCUGGCCUCUCCGAGCAGCCCUGAAAGAGCCACUGACGAUAAGGUGAUGUUGUGGUUUUUCCUCCUUUAGGUAGGUCUCCGAAAUACUUUGUUCCUAGGCAGCCUGGCACUCGUUGUGUCUUUCAGUGUUUGCCAGUAGCCGAGUUAACCUCAGAACUUUUCUGGGAAACGUUUUCUGUAAUUAAAAAGCUAAAA